UGCAAGUCGACGGUAACAAGCUCAUAGGGUGCUGACGAGUGGCGGACGGGUGAGUAAAGCGUAUGGAUCUACCUUGUUGAGGGGAAUAGCUUAGGGAAACUUAAGGUAAUACCGCAUAAGCCCCAAGGGGGAAAGCCGGGGACCGAAGAGGCCUGGCGCAAUAAGAUGAACGUACGUCGGAUUAGCUAGUUGGUAGGGUAAAGGCCUACCAAGGCGGUGAUCCGUAGCUGGUCUGAGAGGACGACCAGCCACACUGGGACUGAGACACGGCCCAGACUCCUACGGGAGGCAGCAGUGGGGAAUAUUGGACAAUGGGCGAAAGCCUGAUCCAGCAAUGCCGUGUGUGUGAAGAAGGCCUGCGGGUUGUAAAGCACUUUCGUUGGAGAGAAAGACGUCAUGACUAACAAGCAUGGCAGAUGAUGUUAUCCAAAGAAGAAGCACCGGCUAACUCUGUGCCAGCAGCCGCGGUAAUACAGAGGGUGCGAGCGUUAAUCAGAAUUACUGGGCGUAAAGGGUGCGUAGGUGGUAGCAUAAGUUAGGUGUGAAAGUCCUGGCUUAACCUGGGGAUUGCGCUUAAUACUGUGUUACUUGAGUAUUGUAGAGGAAAGUGAAAUUUCCGGUGUAGCGGUGAAAUGCGUAUAUAUCGGAAGGAACAUCAGUGGCGAAGGCGACUUUCUGGACAAAUACUGACACUGAGGCACGAAAGCAUGGGGAGCAAACAGGAUUAGAUACCCUGGUAGUCCAUGCCGUAAACGAUGAAGACUGGCUGUUGGGAGCCUGAGGGCUUUUAGUAGCGAAGCUAACGCGUUAAGUCUUCCGCCUGAGGAGUACGACCGC
rnacentral:rRNA from 1 species